AGGUAUUCUAAAAACAAGUGCUGAAGUCAUUGAUGGAUUAAAAAUUGGAAGGAUUAAAUUAGAGAGCAAUGGAAAAGCAACUCUUGAACUAGACUGUCAUAUACUGGAGGGCACAGAAGAGUCGUUGGCUUCACCUUUUUUUCUACUUCAAAAGAAUAGAAAUAUAUUGGAAAAUUCACAAGGGUUUGAAGCUGUUGGCAAUUACUAUACUUCCGUUGCUAUUAUAAGAAAAAAAAUAAUUUUUAGGAACCGACCGACACCCCGAAGCAGCGUUACUAUCACAUAAUAUUGCUUUUUA